rnacentral:lncRNA from 14 species
GGAAAGAAUCCCAAAGGCAGGCAGAGCAGCCAGCGCCGCGUGGAAGGGGCAGGCAGCACCCAAAGGCUGAUGUCGUGCUGCGGAGGGGAGUUUGUGGCACAGGCUGAGCAGCUCCAAGCCGCUCUCCGGAGGGGCAGAGCACAGGUGAGCGUGGAGCAGCGGUCCCUGGCUUGCCUUGAGGCUGCUGGCAGGCUGGUCUUGCUCUUGGUUGUGUGGGGGACAAUGGGAAGAGGAGCUUGAGUUAUCGAGGAGCGGUGUCCGGGUUCCUCGCCUCACCAGCAGGUCCUUGCAAGAUUUCAGCUCUGGGCUGUGUGUCCAGGGCUGAGCGAGGUGCCCCGCUGCUGCGCUGUGGGUCCCAUGAGACAGGCAGGACCACGCUGCCCAUCCCGCCUGGGGCUGCAGCACCCCACUCUUCCUCUGCUGCACAGGGAGCCCCUCCAGCACCCGGAACGAAGCUGCAGAGCUCUGCUGCCACGUGCAUGAGUGGAAAGCAGAGGAGAGGCCAAAGCCCAGCGUGCCCCUGGCAUCCGACUGCCCAGCAUCCUGCCUUCAUCUGACCUGGGUAGGUGGCACACGAGCUCGGGCACUGUUGUAUUGCUGAGCAUGUGACACUCACAUACCUCUGUCGUGCUGAGUCUGGGACUGGAAUGGU